rnacentral:rRNA from 1 species
AUUGAACGCUGGCGGCAUGCCUUACACAUGCAAGUCGAACGGUAACAGGUCUUCGGAUGCUGACGAGUGGCGAACGGGUGAGUAAUACAUCGGAACGUGCCCAAUCGUGGGGGAUAACGCAGCGAAAGCUGUGCUAAUACCGCAUAAGAUCUAAGGAUGAAAGCGGGGGAUCGCAAGACCUCGCGCGAGUGGAGCGGCCGAUGGCAGAUUAGGUAGUUGGUGAGGUAAAGGCUCACCAAGCCUGCGAUCUGUAGCUGGUCUGAGAGGACGACCAGCCACACUGGAACUGAGACACGGUCCAGACUCCUACGGGAGGCAGCAGUGGGGAAUUUUGGACAAUGGGCGCAAGCCUGAUCCAGCCAUGCCGCGUGUGUGAAGAAGGUCUUCGGAUUGUAAAGCACUUUAAGUUGGGAGGAAGGGCAGUAAGUUAAUAACCUUGUUGUUUGACGUUACAACAGAAUAAGCACCGGCUAACUUCGUAGCC